CCCUCCCUCUUUCUUCGUGCUUAACACAUGCAAGUCGAACGGAAAGGCCCUGCUUUUGUGGGGUGCUCGAGUGGCGACCGGGUGAGUAACCCGUUAGUACCCUGUCCUUGUCUUUGGGAUAGAUUCAGGCCACUGGGGCUAAUACCGGAUAGGAGUUACUGCUGCAUGGUGGGGGUUGGUAAGUUUCGGCGGUUGGGGAUGGACUCGCGGCGUAUCCGCUUGUUGGUGGGGUAGUGGCUUACCAAGGCUUUGAACGGUAGCCGGGCUGAGAGGGUGACCGGCCAAAUUGGGACUGGGAUGCGGCCCGGACUCCUACGGGAGGCAGCAGUGGGGAAGAGUGCACAAUGGGCUGAAGCCUGAUGUAGCAACGCCGCGUGGGGGAAGACGGCCAGCGGGUAGUAUUCCGCAUUCGCCUGUGACGAAGCGUGAGUGACGGUAAUGGGUAAAGAAGCACCGGCUAACUACGUG
rnacentral:rRNA from 1 species